AGAUGAAGAAAAGUUUCUGCUCUUCUUAGUUAUCUCUGAACCACCGAUUCUGUACGGUGUGUGCUGCAUAGAAUUGCAGGCUCUGUUUGAAUGUGUUCCAGCAAAGGAGCAUAUUGUCUUGUUUGGGGUGCAGCCACUAAAUAUACUGACAUAUUUCGUGGUUUGCGUACUCCUCAUUUACGCUUGGUUUGUUAACUGAAGAAAUGGUUUCAGGCUUCGCCUUGGUAGUGCACCUCCAGACAGAACUUGGCAAGCUUCGUAAAAGAGUGAAUAUGAGCAGUCAAUCAGGAAAUAUGCCGAGGAACCAAAGAAUGUUAUUAGGCCGGAACAAUUUGGUAUACGUUAUGGGAAGAGCAGACUAAAUGCAGAGGAGAGUGAAUCCAUGCAGGAGAUUGUUUUGCGGUGUUCACUGAGUCUUGCGUACUUUAUUGCUGAAUAAUGUCACCAUUUGUAAGUACAUCAUAGACUAUGGACCUAAUGGUGUUCCGAUUUGUUAAUGCAGGGGAAGCUAGAGGCAGAGAACCGUCGGUCUUGCAUAUGUCAGUGACGGUCGCUGAUCAGGUUGUUGCGCGCGAAUGACAACAAUUGGUUCAUAACGAACCAAUAUGUAGGACAUGCCGUUCGACCUUCUUAUAGAAGUGAACAAUCAUUUCCAGAGCAUUAUAUUAGCUGGACUUUUUAUGAGGUAUGAGCAAGUUGAGAGUUUCGAGUGGGUAUAUUUUCUGAGUUCCUAAAUAUGAUCAGUGGGCUGGCGCCGAAGUCCAUCUUGACAGGUAGGUAGAUUGAGAUAAUUUGUAUGUCUCAAGGUUGUUAUCUGGUUCAUUAGUGUGCCGAGGCUCUGUAGAUCAAAACAGAGCCAUGAAGGUUGCUAUGAGCAAACUAUGUCCAGGGAAGGUCAUGGCUAAGGAAACGGGACUGGCGGAUUUCCCCCUCGUCGUGGACAAGACGUCAUGACACAGUUGUGAUGAGGUGUGGCGCAAGCGUGGCUGUAGGAUCCCUCCUAUGAAGCCAGGCAAUGACAUCAUCGGAUCCUCACUGGUAUGCAGAGCUGUCGCGUGGAUCCGACAGGUGGCAGGGGCGUGUGACUAAUCAGGUACAUGGCCUUGGUUCCACAUUUAAUGUUACCAAGUUCUUAAUCUGUCAUAUUGCUUCUACCGUUCAGAUAUCUGAUGCCAUUACAGAUGGUGCUGAAGGAUCUUGUAGUAUGCAAGUAUGGAGCAAUUUCUAAAAUGGCUUGCAUGAUGUCACUUGUCAUCCUUGGCAUCUUAUCUCUUUCGCACUACUACCUGCAGCUGGAGGCAUCAUGCCAAGGAAGGUGAUUCCGUACUGUUUUUCUGAAACCUCGGCUGUACUCGUGAUUUCUUGUCUCAUUAAUCUCACGGCUACACAGGACAACUUCUGAAUAUAUUACAGUUAAUGCCUUUCUUCUUGGAGCUUUUGUGUACUAGACUAGCAUGAUUUGUUGGGAUGUGGAUUGCGGUAUGUGCAAAUUUUAGUUUCAAGUGCUGCUUGGGGGUCUGCAACGAAAGCGUUGCAGGUUUUAUUUGUUAUCUAUGGUGUUUGUCUUUCAUGCGUUUCCCCCUUCUUCGAUUUGAAAUAGUGAAUAAUUUACCAAAACAGUUUGGUGUUUGUGCAGCUGAUUUCUCAGCCAUGGCAUGGCUGUAUUUAGUGUGGCACUACUUUAUGCAACAUUUUAUGUUUGUCUUGGAGUAUAGAUUCACCUGAUUCAAUGAAGGUUACGGACAGUAAGUAACUUGCAAGCAUGAAUUUUUUCCACCAUUAAAUCUACUCCUUUUUUCCUAUGUUUACAUGCCCCCACAUAUUUACGGGUUCAACUUUUGACCAACUAAUCCUGGGUUAGUUCAUAAAAAUUAUACCAUUGAAUUUCUAUUAUAAAAUAGUUUCCAGCAGUAUAUAUAUUUUCUGACAUGUGAAUCAUCUAUUAUUGGUCAAUGUUCAAACACAAAACCUGAGGGCGCCAUGUAAAUAGAGACGGAGGUAGUAGUUAUUAGUUUUCACAAUGUAUACAUUUUUAAACUAUCAGUUUCUUUUAAGAAUUGAUGCGUACGCGUUCAAUUGAUGUCGCGAAUUCAACAAGUGCUUUGAUGUCUCUGUCUACAAGUUUGUGAGUUAGAUUGGUUCAGUAAAUGGCUUAAACUGUUGGAGGAGUCUGUGGUUGUGAUGGUACGUUCAUACGUUGUCGUUGGUAUCGUUCGCUUCCUCCCCCGCAGUGCUCCAUCGUCGAUGGAAGGAUCUCCUUGCCGAUUUUUUCCAAACAAACCGCACCCCGUCUGUUUGUUUCCAUUCAAAUUUCACUCCCAUGACAUGACAACCGAUCCCUCCCCAUCCUACUCUUUCCUUGCAAAAGCAUAACAGAAUCGAAACUUGCCUUGCCUUGACCGACACAUUCCCAGCGGAUUUCACAAAUCAAUCUUCAUCCAAUCCACCGCAGUUCCCGCUGAUCCCCUUUCAUCAUCCCCGCCGCCCCGCCUUCCAAUUAGCCAUCUUCCAUUGCAAUCAUCGAGCCCUACCAUGCAAGCAGUCCUACGAGGCUACGACUGUCGUGGUGCUGGUGGCCUCCAGCGCGCUCGCCGGGGCCAGGGGUGGACUAAGUUUCGGUGCUGUCUCUGGUGGAGACGACGGGAUGCGGCUGCACGAGAAGAACCUGCAGAAGAAGAUGCCGGUGUGGACAGAGAGGCGGACGCAGCAGGAGGCGUGUGUGGCGCAAGCGCGGGCUUAACUUGCGGGCGCGGAUUAGGGAAGAGGCCAUCUCGGUGGCGGCUUGUGACCUGGGGGACGCGCUAGCACGCGAGCCCGGUGACCAUCAUGUGUGCGUUCUGGACGUACCAUGUGGUGUAUGCCACAAUGCCAUGUGGGUUGGGCCUGCAUGAAAUGCCGAUCUGUAGCACAUCCUCCAUCGCCUCAUCACUGGCUGCUCAAGGGCAGCAUCACAUGAUCACCAAGGCCUGUGACAACAUCUUCAUGCCCAACUCUCACUCCACAUGGGAACGACACUGCUCUAUUGCUUGCUUAUUUAAGAUCAUGGCAAUCAUUUUAUCUAGCCUAUGUGUUUCUAAUUUUCUCCCCUUAUUGUUGCAGGUUAGAGUGCAGCUUUCAGAUACUUCUUUCUUUGGGAUAGUUGGAAUACUAUGACUAGAUAUAGAAGAGGCUCAAAUGGUAAUGCUAUCAGUGUUUGCCCCUUCCGUGAUUUAUGCGUAGCAUGUAGACUAUCAGCGACAAUUUGAGCCUCUUUGUGAAGUAGUUUUGUAGGGUAUUGCUUCAAGUCAAGAAAAUAGCUUCCAAAGAUAGUUUAACCGAAGAGCUUCUGAUCUCUACAUGUGAAUGAUGCAGAAGCAUAUUAGUCAUGCAGAAAUAAUCAUAUGCUGAAGGAAGGACUUGGAACUGUAACUAAAAACAAAAUGGCGCCCACCGACUGUGUGUAUGCCUGUUACCUACGGCGCCGUUGUUGCUUCCCUCGGUCGGGCGUGGUCCACCAGCCACUACCUGUAGGCAAUAGCAUUAGGCCGGCAACUAUCGCGGAUCAAGGGUACAAAUCAACCAGACUAGGAGAGGGGGUGGUGGUCUACGUAGUGGCAGGGAGAGGAAGCGAUGGCUGACACCAAGGCUGGGAGAGGAGCCGGCAGAUGACUCUAUGGCGGGACAAGAGGAGCAGUGGCAGGGAGAGAAAGCGGGACUAUGCCAUGUGAGUUGCUGAAGUUGUGCCUUGUGAGGUGGGGAUAAGGGAUGUGUGUUGUGCAUGUGUAGUGAGAGGCGUGGAGUAGCUUUUCCUUUUUUGAGGGAGGCUGUUUAUUUGUCUAGAACAGAUUAGCUUCUUUUCCUUUCUCCCUUGUGAACUGAGAGGAGUGGUUAUUAUGCCACGAGAGAAGUGUCAGAUAUUCUAGAAAUAGCAAAAAUUGUUCUAAAGAUAAUAGCCAAACAAGUGAUCUAGAGAAUGUCCUAUGUUGCUA